GCGGCGCAGGGGAGCUCGGGAGGGGAGCACCUGCAAAUUCACAGACACCAGCAGUCACACACGUUGAACAUCGCACCAUCGGCUCAGCCGCCAAGGUAGCCGCUUACUCACAGGUGGUCUGUCGCCGCUCGUCUGAUGAUGGAGUGCAGCGGCCGCUUGGAGAGGCAUUCGCACGAGGUGUGGUUGACGAAGGUGACCAUGGCGACCGUGCGAUCCAUCCUGGGUGGAGACAGCUCCAUCAGCUGGCAUUGUUGUGGGAUUGUGCAGCUGUGCGUGACUGGAAGCGCUGCGUCCAGUCAUCCUGUUCCCCCCGGAGUGGGGUGUGUCGCGUUACAGCUGAGGCAGAUGCUUCAUGGAUGCACAGAUGGAUUUAGAGUGAGCAGAAGAUGAUGAUGACGAUCAGC